rnacentral:rRNA from 1 species
GACGAACGCUGGCGGCGCGCCUAACACAUGCAAGUCGAACGGAGCUGCGAGAAGCUUGCUUUUCUUAGCUUAGUGGCGCACGGGUGAGUAACGCGUGAGUAACCUGCCCUGGAGUGGGGGACAACAGUUGGAAACGACUGCUAAUACCGCAUAAGCCCACGAUCCGGCGUCGGAUUGAGGGAAAAGGAUUUAUUCGCUUCAGGAUGGACUCGCGUCCACUUAGCUAGUUGGUGGGGUAACGGCCCACCAAGGCGACGAUUGGUAGCCGGACUGAGAGGUUGAACGGCCACAUUGGGACUGAGGCACGGCCCAGACUCCUACGGGAGGCAGCAGUGGGGGAUAUUGCACGAUGGGGGAAACCCUGAUGCAGCGACGCCGCGUGGAGGAAGUAGGUUUUCGGAUUGUAAACUCCUGUCGUUAGGGACGAUAAUGACGGUACCUAACAAGAAAGCACCGGCUAACUACGUG